ensembl:lincRNA uncharacterized LOC102020490
CUCUGCAGGAGGGAGAGAAUGAGAGGGAGAGAAGGGUGGGAGAAGAACCCGACUUGUGGCCUGAGAAGACGCUCCGAACCAGGGGUCCACCUGACUUCCGGAACGUUGGUGACGGAACCUUUGGGUGGCCCGUAAGAGCUUCUGAGCUCCUUGGAGGACGAGGCCGUGCCCAGGGUGAAGAAGCUGAAGCAGAGACAUCCUGGGACUGUGCCUUGCAAGCUCUUUGUGAAGAGGUUGUUAGUGCUGUGUGGCUGCGUUGGUGGCCCAGCGCGCCGGAGAAGGGCUGUGACCCGUUUCAGUAGACUGUGACACUUCAGCGACCUGCAAAUUCUACACGUUAGAGUUCAUAUUUUACACAAACUCCGUACACCCAAGAGGUGGACUCGCAUUCCUACCAGCAACAUCCGCCUUCCAACAGAAGAUACGGGUCCUACAGAAGGCAAAAGCUGUUGGGGAAGAUGUACUACAAAUGGCCACAUCUGUGCCCUGUGUCACUGCAAUUCCAUUUCAAAGGGAUGGAGUAGGAGAAGAAAGGAACUUGGGGACUACGGGAUUAAGCCUUGAAAAUGGCUGGGCACCUUUGAUGCGUGGUGUCCUACCAAGCACAGACUUUCUUUACUCUGUGUGCGAUUGCCGGUGACAUUUGCUGCUCUGCAGCUCACGGCUCCUUGGCAGAGGCUUUGGAGAAGGCCACUUCAGCAAGGGGAACAGCUGGCAAUCACAAGGCAGGGUGGGCGGGUUCAGACCGGCCACGGUCUCAGGGUAUGUGGCAAUCAUCUUUCUUCUGCAGCUGAGCUGGAAAUUAGAGGCUGUAUUCAGCCCCAUGUGGGAGAAAGGGAAUUUUUACUAGAGGGCAUGGCCUUUUGAGUCAGGGGGAGAAAGCAUCUUCUGCCUGCUGGGGCAGGGAACAGAGGUGAGUCAGAACAGCUUGUGGAGAGUGGUAUUCCCCACUGGGGGUCACAGGGCCACUUGUAAAAUGAUGCCUAGGUGUUGCUGUACAGCCAAGGUCCUCAACUUUGGCUGCAUAUUGAAAUCAUGUGGGGAGCUUUUAUAGUCCUGCUGCCCUGGCCCCACCUCUGAUCACUGUAUUAGACUCUCUGGGGUGGGUGACACUCAGGCUGAGGUAGUUUUUUUUUUUCCGGUACCGGAAAUCGAACUCAUGACCUCGCUCUUGCCAGGCAGGCGCUGUGCCGCUGAGCUAAAUCCCCAGCCCCCGGCUGAGGAGGUUUUUAAGGGCCCCCACGUAAUUCCAGUGGGCACCCGAGCUUCAGAUCCACUGAUCUAGGCCCUCAUUCAUCAGUGUAGUCUGAAGCCCAGCAGUACCAUAUCACCCAGCAAUUGUUAGACCCACAGAGUCUCAGGCCCCACCCAAGAUCUUCUGUGUCAGUUUCUAGCAAGAUCCAUGAGAAAUUUGAUGUACAUUAAAGUGUGAGGAGCUAUAGUUUUCAAAUUUUGCUGCACAUUAAAAAUCACCUGGAGAACUUUAAAAACUCGCACUGCCCAGACCACACCUAAUACCAAUUAAUCAGAAUUUCCAAGUGUGGGACACAAGCACCGGUAGGUUUUUACAGGUGAUUCCAGUGUGCAUGGAUUUUCAGCACUGGCUAUGAAUUAGAAUCACCUUGGGAACUUUUAAAUGCCUUGAUACCUGAACUCCACUUAGAGAUUUUGAUUUAAUUGGUCUGGGAGAGGCAGCAAAAAGAUUCCUAGGUAUUCAAAUGUGCAGGCAGCUGGAACUCCUGUUUCAGAAAGUUGGUUCAGUAUCACUGAAAGCAAAACCAACUGACAAACCUUAAACAGGUCCAUGGGGCCAAGGACAAACAGCUGAAGUAGCAACCGGACCAUCGCUGGACCUUACCUGGUCUCAGGGCUUUGAUAGUCAACCUCCUUACAUGGGAUUCCUACUAUUCUUUUGUUCUGCAUAUGGAUUCAAAUGUUUGUAUGUUCCUUUGGUUUUCUAAUAAAGUUCCUCUUGAAAAACUUAAUGUCACAGCAGCUGACUUAAAGGACAAAAUCCCUGGUUUCCACCUAGGCCAU